rnacentral:rRNA from 1 species
UACGUAGGGUGCGAGCGUUAAUCGGAAUUACUGGGCGUAAAGCGUGCGCAGGCGGCGCGUUAAGACAGGUGUGAAAGCCCCGAGCUUAACUUGGGAAUUGCGCUUGUGACUGGCGUGCUGGAGUGUGGCAGAGGGAGGUGGAAUUCCACGUGUAGCAGUGAAAUGCGUAGAGAUGUGGAGGAACACCGAUGGCGAAGGCAGCCCCCUGGGUUAACACUGACGCUCAUGCACGAAAGCGUGGGGAGCAAACAGG